AUUGAACGCUGGCGGCAUGCCUUACACAUGCAAGUCGAACGGCAGCACGGGUGCUUGCGCCUGGUGGCGAGUGGCGAACGGGUGAGUAAUACAUCGGAACGUACCUUAUCGUGGGGGAUAACGCAGCGAAAGCUGUGCUAAUACCGCAUACGCCCUGAGGGGGAAAGCGGGGGAUCGCAAGACCUCGCGCGAUUAGAGCGGCCGAUGCCUGAUUAGCUUGUUGGUGGGGUAAAAGCCCACCAAGGCGACGAUCAGUAGCUGGUCUGAGAGGACGAUCAGCCACACUGGGACUGAGACACGGCCCAGACUCCUACGGGAGGCAGCAGUGGGGGAUUUUGGACAAUGGGGGCAACCCUGAUCCAGCAAUGCCGCGUGAGUGAAGAAGGCCUUCGGGUUGUAAAGCUCUUUUGUCAGGGAAGAAACACCGGCUCUAACACAGUCUGGGAAUGACGGUACCUGAAGAAUAAGCACCGGCUAACUACGUGCCAGCCGCCGCAGUAA
rnacentral:rRNA from 1 species